rnacentral:rRNA from 1 species
AGAGUUUGAUCCUGGCUCAGGAUGAACGCUAGCUACAGGCUUAACACAUGCAAGUCGCGGGGCAGCAUGGGGGUUGCUUGCAACCCCCGAUGGCGACCGGCGCACGGGUGAGUAACGCGUAUCCAACCUGCCCUUCACCACGGGAUAACCCGGCGAAAGUCGGACUAAUACCGUAUGUUGUCCAUUGACGGCAUCCGAUUUGGACGAAAGGCUUGGCGGUGAAGGAUGGGGAUGCGUCCGAUUAGCUUGACGGCGGGGUAACGGCCCACCGUGGCUACGAUCGGUAGGGGUUCUGAGAGGAAGGUCCCCCACACUGGAACUGAGACACGGUCCAGACUCCUACGGGAGGCAGCAGUGAGGAAUAUUGGUCAAUGGACGAGAGUCUGAACCAGCCAAGUAGCGUGCAGGAUGACGGCCCUAUGGGUUGUAAACUGCUUUUAUGCGGGGAUAAAGUGGCCCACGUGUGGGUUUUUGCAGGUACCGCAUGAAUAAGGACCGGCUAAUUCCGUGCCAGCAGCCGCGGUAAUACGGAAGGUCCGGGCGUUAUCCGGAUUUAUUGGGUUUAAAGGGAGCGUAGGCCGCGCCUUAAGCGUGUUGUGAAAUCCGGGUGCUCAACAUCCGGCUUGCAGCGCGAACUGGGGCGCUUGAGUGCGCAGAAAGUAGGCGGAAUUCGUGGUGUAGCGGUGAAAUGCUUAGAUAUCACGAGGAACUCCGAUUGCGAAGGCAGCCUACUGUAGCGCUACUGACGCUGAUGCUCGAAAGCGUGGGUAUCGAACAGGAUUAGAUACCCUGGUAGUCCACGCGGUAAACGAUGGAUGCUCGUUGUCGGCCCUUUGGGUCGGUGACCAAGCGAAAGCGUUAAGCAUCCCACCUGGGGAGUACGCCGGCAACGGUGAAACUCAAAGGAAUUGACGGGGGCCCG